rnacentral:rRNA from 1 species
UACGAAGGGGGCUAGCGUUAAUCGGAAUUACUGGGCGUAAAGCGUGCGCAGGCGGCUAUGCGAGACAGAUGUGAAAUCCCCGGGCUCAACCUGGGAACUGCAUUUGUGACUGCAUAGCUAGAGUACGGUAGAGGGGAGUGGAAUUCCGCGUGUAGCAGUGAAAUGCGUAGAUAUGCGGAGGAACACCGAUGGCGAAGGCAGCUCCCUGGACCUGUACUGACGCUCAUGCACGAAAGCGUGGGGAGCAAACAGG